CGUGGCCGAGUGGUCUAAGGCACCGCUUUUCAACUACGGUAGAAGCUGUCUGCUUCGGCGUGGGUUCGAAUCCCACCG
rnacentral:tRNA from 1 species